GAGGCAACUAGAUGCGUGGGAGACCAGCAGUGCCUCAAGGCUGAGGCAUCAUUCCUGCCAGAUGACCAAGAGCCACAGAUGCUGCUGCUCUCAAGCAAGGGAGGAUGUGAAAGCUUUGGCACAGAGAGCCGAAAGUUUCCAGGCCAGUGCUUUAGAAGACAAGCAAUGCAAAAGUAAAGAAGAGAAGAUCUAACAAAAAAUUCAGAGCAUCUGAUGCUGCCUGUAGGGGCUAGAAUGAGUCUGCUGGAAAGGAGAGAACCAAGAACACUAGAGAUCACCAGACUGAGAUCCUGGAAAGAAAACAACUUCUCUGACUGGAGAUUGCACAUAUGAGUGUGAGAAACAUCAGCGCCCACAACAUAUGCCUAUUUCUCAGAUUACAGACAGAGACUCAUUGGUAAACUUGGGCUGUCCCUCAGCCUUUUUGUGCCUUGCAGCAGGAUGACAAGAGUUGUAGAUGUCUGACACAGUCUAUGAACUUCCCUGGCAAAGAAUAUUUCUGCAUGUUAUCUGUCGGGGAGCUCACUCAGAGCCGACGAGCUCUAUCACCGGCCAGCCCAGAUACCGCGACAGACGUCAGCAAGGGUCAGCCUGCACGCAGCGCAGGCAGGGCUGACUCCUGUGGGUUCUUGUCCUAUCAGGGGCUCACGUGAGCGAUGCUAAUUCGACAGGCAGUGGAACGAAAGGAGGAAACAAAUUC